AAUCCGGGGGGAUUAGGGGAGCCCGAGCUGGGGGAGUGGCCCUGUCCCCUUCCACGCCCCUCUUGGAGGUCCUAUGACGGAGACCUCCAUCUCCCGGCCGGGGUGGCUGGGGCCUGGGCGCUGUUCUCCGGCCCUUCCCGGGAAGGGGAGGGGGUUCCCGCCAGUUUCCUGCCUCCCCCCGCGCCACGCCGGGGCGGCGCCGGGAAGCCACUCCUUCUAGGAGCGCAGAGCCUUGGCCCUCCCUGGGAGUCUGGUCGGCGGGCUGUGGGGUCCCAAAAUCGUGACCCCGGCCCCUCUCCCCUCCUCCCCCACCAUGUCCCAUGUCAGGAUCAGUUCGAGGUGCUCGAGCGCCACACGCAGUGGGGGCUGGACCUGUUGGACAGAUAUGUAAAGUUCGUGAAAGAACGCACCGAAGUGGAACAGGCUUACGCCAAACAACUGCGGAGCCUGGUGAAAAAAUAUCUGCCCAAGAGACCUGCCAAGGAUGAUCCUGAGUCCAAAUUCAGCCAGCAACAGUCCUUCGUACAGAUUCUCCAGGAGGUGAAUGACUUUGCAGGCCAGCGGGAGCUGGUGGCUGAGAACCUCAGUGUCCGUGUAUGUCUUGAGCUGACCAAGUACUCACAAGAGAUGAAACAGGAGAGGAAGAUGGUGAGGAGCCCCCCGAUUCAGGUUUUACAAAGGGCUUCUGCUGGAACCCUGGCGAGCCUUAUCACUCUUCUUUCUGUAGCACUUCCAAGAAGGGCGGCGGGCCCAGCAGCAGCUGGAAAAUGGCUUUAAACAGCUGGAGAAUAGUAAGCGUAAAUUUGAGCGGGACUGCCGGGAGGCAGAGAAGGCAGCCCAGACUGCUGAACGGCUAGACCAGGAUAUCAACGCCACCAAGGCUGAUGUGGAGAAGGCCAAGCAGCAAGCCCACCUUCGGAGUCAUAUGGCCGAAGAAAGCAAAAACGAAUAUGCAGCUCAACUCCAGCGCUUCAACCGAGACCAAGCCCACUUCUAUUUUUCACAGAUGCCCCAGAUAUUCGAUAAGCUCCAAGACAUGGAUGAACGCAGGGCCACCCGCCUGGGUGCCGGGUAUGGGCUCCUGUCGGAGGCCGAGCUGGAGGUGGUGCCCAUCAUAGCCAAGUGCUUGGAGGGCAUGAAGGUGGCUGCAAAUGCUGUGGAUCCCAAGAACGACUCCCACGUCCUUAUAGAGCUGCACAAGUCAGGUUUUGCCCGCCCGGGCGACGUGGAAUUCGAGGACUUCAGCCAGCCCAUGAACCGUGCACCCUCCGACAGCAGUCUGGGCACCCCCUCGGAUGGACGGCCUGAACUCCGAGGCCCGGGCCGCAGCCGCACCAAGCGCUGGCCUUUUGGCAAGAAGAACAAGGUGGGGGCCGGGACCCUUGGGAUGGUGGGGGAGAAGGACAGUGAAGUGGGGACAGUGGGGCCCCUAUUGAGUCAGCCCCAGCCGCCUGAACGCUGAGUCCCGGGCAGGAAUUUUCCUCUUGGCUGCCAGCCCGGACUGGAGGGAAGGAAGGCGGGCGGGCCGAUUGGCCUGGGAGUCCCCCGAGGCGAAGGCGGGGGCAGGGUGGGGAGGU
rnacentral:sRNA from 1 species